AGAGAGAGAGAGAGAGAGAGAGAGAGAGAGAGAGAGAGAGAGAGAGAGAGAUAAAGAUAAAAUGAACCUGGUUUACUUCAUAAGAUUUAUUCAGUACAAACUUGUUUCGUAUGACAAGCAAUGCUUGCCACACUCAUCAGGUGAAUUUAAAUGGAACGAAACGAAAUAAAAGAAAAACAAAGAAAACGAAAAAAGGAACGAUACGAAUCAAAAGGAAUCGUAUGUCGGACAUACUGAAGGACAGUUCAAAUCCAGAUAUUAUUGCCACACUAGCUCAUUCAGAUUAAGCAAGUAUAGAAAUGCCACAGAGCUGAGCAAAUACAUCUGGCAACUUAAAGAGUCGAAG